rnacentral:piRNA from 1 species
UCUCUCAUCGGGAGCUGAUGCACAAGGUGU